AACGAACGCUGGCGGCGUGCCUAAUACAUGCAAGUCGAGCGGACUUGAAGGAGCUUGCUCCUGAUAGUUAGCGGCGGACGGGUGAGUAACACGUGGCAACCUGCCUGUAAGACUGGGAUAACUUCGGGAAACCGGAGCUAAUACCGGAUAGGUUCUUCUCUCGCAUGAGAGAAGAUGGAAAGACGGUUUCGGCUGUCACUUACAGAUGGGCCCGCGGCGCAUUAGCUAGUUGGUGGGGUAAUGGCCUACCAAGGCAACGAUGCGUAGCCGACCUGAGAGGGUGAUCGGCCACACGGGGACUGAGACACGGCCCAGAGUCCUACGGGAGGCAGCAGUAGGGAAUCUUCCGCAAUGGACGAAAGUCUGACGGAGCAACGCCGCGUGAGUGAAGAAGGUUUUCGGAUCGUAAAACUCUGUUGUCAGGGAAGAACAAGUACCAUAGUAACUGAUGGUACCUUGACGGUACCUGACCAGAAAGCCACGGCUAACUACGUGCCAGCCGCCGCCGUAA
rnacentral:rRNA from 1 species